UUUGAAAUCUGGCUCUUUCAGAGUCCGAGUUGUAAUUUGCAGAGGGCGCUUUGGCAUUGGCAGCGGUCCAAGUUCUUUGGAACAGGACGUCACAGAGGGUGAGAAUCCCGUACGUGGUCGCUAGCCUUUGCCGUGUAAAGCCCCUUCGACGAGUCGAGUUGUUUGGGAAUGCAGCUCUAAAUGGGAGGUAAAUUUCUUCUAAAGCUAAAUACUGGCCAGAGACCGAUAGCGCACAAGUAGAGUGAUCGAAAGAUGAAAAGCACUUUGGAAAGAGAGUCAAAUAGCACGUGAAAUUGUUGAAAGGGAAGCGCUUGCAGCCAGACUUGCCUGUAGUUGCUUAUCUGGACUUUUUGUCCAGUGCACUCUUCUGCGGGCAGGCCAGCAUCAGUUUGGGCGGUUGGAUAAAGGUCUCUGUCAUGUACCUCUCUUCGGAGAGGCCUUAUAGGGGAGACGACAUGCAACCAGCCUGGACUGAGGUCCGCGCAUCUGCUAGGAUGCUGGCGUAAUGGCUGUAAGCGGCCCGUCUUGAAACACGGACCAAGGAGUCUAACAUCUAUGCGAGUGUUUGGGUGUCAAGCCCAGACGCGUAAUGAAAGUGAACGGAGGUGGGAACCUUUUAGGUGCACCAUCGACCGAUCCUGAUGUCUUCGGAAGGAUUUGAGUAAGAGCAUGGCUGUUGGGACCCGAAAGAUGGUGAACUAUGCUUGAAUAGGGUGAAGCCAGAGGAAACUCUGGUGGA
rnacentral:rRNA from 1 species